rnacentral:lncRNA from 1 species
CAUAAAAGUUUUGAAAAUGUCAUCUUAAAACUGUGUGAGGGAGCAAAUGGGUUUUCCAAUCCUGAGGGGCGACUGGAUGUACUGGGGUGAGGGAGCUUCACAGAGGAGGUGCUGAGAGCUGCCCCUCGACAGGAGAAAGGUGUCUGCCAGUCGGACAAGGGCCCAGCCAGUUGCCCACUGGAGGCUGAGGUUUUAGGAGCAAAAGGCUGGCUCCUGGCACACUCACUAGGGUGCCCAUUACCAUAGCAACUGAUAUCAUGGCCAUUUGGUAGACACCCAAGUGGGCGGAGCAGCUUUGUGACGGUCAACAGUGCAGCUGCAGAUGGCACCGCCCUUUGCUGGCCCCUGGUGAGUGUGUGUGCAUGGCUCUCUCCUUUCUCGGUGGCAGCGGUUGUUCAGUGGCAUCCUGAAUUACCCUGGCUUCAAACUCCAACUGCCUUUCCUUGCCCCACAUGCAGUCCUAGAGCCCACAGCGUGCUAAGAGGACAGGACCACUGUGCACCCCCAGGCUUCUGGAAAUCAGGUGGCACUUUCCAUCCUUGCCACUCAAGAGGAUCAAGACAAUGAGGCCGAGUUUGAAAACUGGACAAGAAGAAGCUCAAAAAGAGCAGAGCAGAGGCUUUAUCUUUUGUUGUCUUAGUGAGAAGGAAAAUCUUUGGUAAAGUUGGUAUAUGGGAGCGGGUCUUGGCCUGGAGGGUUUCCAAUGGACUUGAAAAGAUACUUGGGCCUUUUUGCCAUCUGAACCCAGCUCAGAAGUUUGUAGGGGAAGCAAAUUUGAACUGCAGACCUCAAAAUUGUAUUUGUGUUGACUGGGGAGCCACAGAGCCAGGGAGCAAAGAAGAUGGACCUUUUUUGAUGGAAGCUAGUUUAAUCUAUGUCCCUUACGGUGUCUAUUUCACCAGGGUGUGCAAAGUCUGUUGA